rnacentral:rRNA from 1 species
AUGAUGAUGCUCGCAGCGAGCGCGCUGCCCCUCCAAGGUUGGAAACGCCAGAUCUCAGCUGUUACCUACCAACAGCCACAUUCAGUCCCACGCGCUGUGUUCAGAGUAUCUGCAACAAAGAAUAAUGAGAGGAAACGGAGGCGCGCCCGGAAUCUGCCCAAAGGCCCAGCGUUGAUCGCCGAGGAAGCUUCUCCGAGCAACGGCGAAAACCCCGCCACCAUCCUCGGUCUCGAUGGCGAUGGUGAUGCUACUAGUGAUGGCAAAGUUGCAGGUGCCCCAAGGGGUGCUGUUCUUCAGUCCUGCACUCUCACAUCCGGCUUGCUGCUUGCAGCAGGUCUCCUUCUUCGUGAGGCAUCACACAUUGCAUCUUCAAAUGAAUUGCCAUUUGCUGACCCUACAGCCAUAUCAUUCAAUUUUGAAACUUGGCAUCUCGAGUUGGUCGCUGGACUCGUAAUAUUGAUAUCGUCUACCAGAUACAUUCUGCUGCAGACAUGGCCCGAUUUCAGAGAUUCCAGUGAAGCUGCAAAUACACAGAUCCUUACUUCCCUGGAGUCUCUGGAUUACAUAGUAGUUGCUUGUCUCCCUGGAAUAAGCGAAGAGUUCCUGUUUCGAGGUGCAUUGAUGCCAAUUUUUGGAUUGAAUUGGAUAAGUGCUCUAGCAACUGGUGUAUUUUUCGGCGUUCUUCACUUGGGCAACGGCAGGAAAUAUUCAUUUGCAGUCUGGGCAACAUUUGUAGGCCUUGCCUAUGGUUUAGCAACCAUAGCUUCCUCAAGCAUCAUAGUCCCAAUGGCUUCUCAUUCCAUAAACAAUAUUAUUGGAGGCUUACUUUGGCGCUUCGGAGACAACUCAGAAAGAAAAAUAUAG